rnacentral:rRNA from 1 species
GACGAACGCUGGCGGCGUGCUUAACACAUGCAAGUCGAACGGCAAGGCCCUGCUUUUGUGGGGUGCUCGAGUGGCGAACGGGUGAGUAACACGUGAGUAACCUGCCCUUGACUUUGGGAUAACUUCAGGAAACUGGGGCUAAUACCGGAUAGGAGCUCCUGCUGCAUGGUGGGGGUUGGAAAGUUUCGGCGGUUGGGGAUGGACUCGCGGCUUAUCAGCUUGUUGGUGGGGUAGUGGCUUACCAAGGCUUUGACGGGUAGCCGGCCUGAGAGGGUGACCGGCCACAUUGGGACUGAGAGAGGGCCCAGACGGCUACGGGAGACAGCAGUGGGGAAUAUUGCACAAUGGGCGGGAGCCUGAUGCAGCAACGCCGCGUGCGGGAUGACGGCCUUCGGGUUGUAAACCGCUUUCGCCUGUGACGAAGCGUGAGUGACGGUAAUGGGUAAAGAAGCACCGGCUAACUACGUG